CCAUAGCUAAGAUACCCACUGAGCCGUCUCACUGGCCUUCAAGCCCCUUUCCUAUAGAGGGCCAGAUAGUAAGUGUCUUGGACUCAGGAACCGAAGCAUAGGUGCUCCAGAGCAAGCACUCAUGUCAGUCAGCUUGAAAGUCACUGCUGAUAACUUAGCAAGGAGUGGGUGUGGCUGUGCUGCAAUAAAACUAUUCACACUAUUGGUUUCAAACUAUGAGAUUGCUGAUCCAGUCCAAUGUGUGGGCAGAGGCCUGAGCACAGUACACACCCUCCCUGGAGAGCAUAAAUCUCUGAGGUGGAGAGAAAAGCAAGCAUGUGAACAAUCUAGUGAGAUCACUAUGAGAACAAACCCAGGAAAGAAUCACCAGCUCAGGAGCUUUCUCCUUCUCUUGCUCUGGGGCAUUUUUUUUUUCCUCCCAUGUAGGUGGGAAAGGCUAAAGGAGCUGAUGAGGGUCCCAGGACACCUAAAGAGGAAGCUCCGUGUGUUAGAAUCACAAGAAAUUAUUUUUUAAAAAAUGGUGGUUAAAAGAUAAAGCAGAGUGUCAUUUUUGAACCCCUUGACUAGCCAGAGGACUUUUAAACACUAGCCUGUGAAAUAAUUUCUAUGCUUGAUAACAGCUCACUGUAAAUAAUUUCAAGCAGCUGUACAUUGUGAAACAGGCUUUUGAUCCCAUGGGUCAAAAGAUAAGCAGUUGGUUCUGUGAGUUAGGCUAGUCUGAUCUACUUGUAGAGAUCCUGACCAUCUAUAUGACAUGGUGAGAUUCAAUGUCAAAAAUCAAUAGAUAAUAAAUAAGAAAGUUAGUAAAAAACGGCAGAGGCUGAACAAUUACAAAAUGAUAUUCUGGAUUUUAAAAAUUGGAGGCAAGUUAGAAUGGAUGUCUAUUGUCAGUGUAAGCCAAGGAGAUCAGGGAAUAUCACCAGAAGGUGCAUCCUCAUGAUUCAGCUCCUUCUAUGAAAAGGAUGUUCACAUCAAAAAGGAAACUCUAAUGAUUUAAGAACUGGGGCUUUUAUGAAUUUCUCACUAGUAAUCACUGAACAGUUGUUGGAAGAGAAAUACUUUCCCUUGUGGUCAUUUUUGUGUAUAAAAAUUUUGCGAUGUGAUGUGAGGACUAUUGUUAAAGCUCAAGGCAGGGCAGACAUGGAGUGGAACUUUCCAUCUAUGAUGUGACCUGCUCUCAGUAAGGUCAGCUGACCCUCGUUGAAGCCAGCUCAUCUGCACAGUGGCAUCCUGCGUUGACUGCUUUUCAGAUUAAACCUGGGGGCAUGAGAGGUAUAUAUGCACCAAGUGAAGGUUUGGUGCUCUUUCGUGUCCUUUCUUUGGCCCUCAGACUUUGACUAUAGCAUGCACAUACAUGUACUCACCGUCACUUGAAUGUAACAUGCAUGUAAAUAUAUUCCCC